AUGCCAUUACAGGGUGAAAGUUCCACCGCCAAAUCCGGCGUGGCCUGGGAUACCUCCGGACACAACUUUCCCUUGCAACAGGACCUGCUUCUCAAGUCUCUGCUGGUGACUUCGACUCAAGCCACAGUUUUGGAGAAAAACACACGGCAGCAGUCGAAGAGUCCGCUAUGGAGGGCAGCCCGACGGAACAGGCUGACAGCGUCAUCCUUCGGGGAAGUUGCAACACGCGAGAGCUGGUCUUUAAAAGGCCUCAACAACCUGACAUCAACCAAGGACAUCUCGCACGUCCGUGCGGUCAGACACGGUAUCAAGUACGAGCCAGCGGCUGUGCAACGUUACGAGAGUGCCUUGCGGGUCUUGGGACAUGAUAUCCAGACAUCGCACUGCGGCAUUGUUGUUCAACCUGACUGCCCCUGGCUCGGAGCGUCUCCUGACAGGACGACAUGGGACCCGACCGAAGCAACUGCUCAUGGGGUUGUCGAGGUGAAAUGUCCUUAUACAUUGAAGGAUGGAGGCCUCGAGACUGCGGUAGACUUUUACAUGGUGAAGGAUACUUCAGGGGUGUACCGCUUGAACCGGGAACAUAGGUAUUGCUACCAGAUUCUGGGUCAGAUGGCGCUUUCUGGCCUGCUGUGGGGGGAUUUCGUUGUUUAUUCCCACAAGUUUUUGAUUGUUGAGAGAAUUAAUUUUUCUCAAGAGAAGUGGCUAGAAUGUAAAACUACACUACACAAGUUUUACUUCUCUGUUUUGCUGCCAUACCUGUCCGAAAGUCGCACAUAA